rnacentral:rRNA from 1 species
GACGAACGCUGGCGGCGUGCUUAACACAUGCAAGUCGAACGGAAAGGCCCUGCUUGCAGGGUACUCGAGUGGCGAACGGGUGAGUAACACGUGGGUGAUCUGCCCUGCACUUCGGGAUAAGCCUGGGAAACUGGGUCUAAUACCGGAUAGGAGCCAUUUUUAGUGUGAUGGUUGGAAAGUUUUUUCGGUGUAGGAUGAGCUCGCGGCCUAUCAGCUUGUUGGUGGGGUAAUGGCCUACCAAGGCGGCGACGGGUAGCCGGCCUGAGAGGGUGGACGGCCACAUUGGGACUGAGGUACGGCCCAGACUCCUACGGGAGGCAGCAGUGGGGAAUAUUGCACAAUGGGCGCAAGCCUGAUGCAGCGACGCCGCGUGGGGGAUGACGGCCUUCGGGUUGUAAACUCCUUUCGCUAGGGACGAAGCUUUUUGUGACGGUACCUAGAUAAGAAGCACCGGCUAACUACGU